UCAGGACAUCUGCUUGGGCGCUCCGAUUUUGGAUUGAGUGACAACGCUUGCGAUGCCUGCCAUUGUCGCGUUUACGACUGCCCUCCUGAUGCUGUUGGAAUGCGCGCUUGUCCAACAGCUUGCCGACGUGCCUUUAGCUCCGCCCACCAACGUGACGGUGAAUUGCACGGACACUCAGGGUACCGUGCACUGGCAGUACGGCGAGGAAGCCCAUGUCCGCUUUCUGGUCGAUGUGGGCAACUCCAAGAGUAAGCCCGAACGAAAUGCGGUGCAAGAGCACUUCUACAAUUGUAUAACCGCUCGGGUGUGGGAGUCGUUGGAGAGCGCCAUGGAUGUGCACUACGUCGGCGUGGCCGCCGUGGUACCCGACGGACGUUCGUCCCCCCAAAUCUCCACCACCUUCACGUACAACAGCGUCAAGCUGGCCGAGGUCAAAUGCAAGUUGGCCUUUCCUGACGUGGACGUGAAGGCGGACGACGGGAGCGUCAUUGUCAGCUUCCGCAACCCGUUGCACCAGAACCCGCAACUGCGCCUUGCCACAAGGGGGGCCGCCACUUUCAGAUUCAAUGCUACGUAUGACUCUAGGGCGGUGGAGAAUUCCUGCCACCCACAUCAGAACGUGUGCCGGGCAAACGUGACCUUCCCGCCGGGUUCCGCCGAGUGCGUCACGCUGACGGGAUGGGUGAGCGACUCGGGGGGAGGCCGGCUGGAGUUCGGACCGUCUGGCCGCGCUUGCGUAAAGCGCUCGUCGGGGCGCGUGCCGCUGCUCGUCGUGCUGACCAGAGUCCUGGUGGUGGCGGGGCUGCUCAUCUGCGCGGUGGUGCUGGUGUGGAGGCGGCUGGCCAAGGCCCCCAAGGAACCUCUCUUUCCUCAAGUGUCUGCUUGUUGCCAAAAUUGGAUUAAUUGGAUUCAAAGUUGCUUCGCAUGCUCAAGUGGGCUGCUGCAGGGCCAACGGUGGCACCGGCCACCACAGUUUGAGGGUCCAGCUCAUCUCAGUGGAGGAGUCCAGUUUCUUGAUUCUCCUCUGCCCCAGGAGGACGAAGUGCAGGAAGUGGAACAAGAAGAACUGAAGGUGGAGGAGGACGAGGAGGGGAAAGGGUGCUGGGGCUGAAAUUACGACUGUGUCCAUGAGAACAUAGUGAACUUUAAGUUGGACAUGGGCGAUGGAGACAAGGCUGUGGGUUACAUGGAAAGGUGACAAAAGGAGGAGCCAGAGAACACUUUGAAAAAUGACUCAGGGACCUGCAAAGAGCGAAGAAAAAAACACAAGGUGGAUUUGAAAGCAUUCCUCUGCUUUUCUUAUCUGCUUUGCUUCCUUUUGCUAUUCUAUGUUUCUAUUUUAUAUCCCCUCCAUUUUUUUCUAUCACAACCUUUGAGCAGGUCAAUACUUGGUGGAAGAACACUGAAGAGGCCAACCACUUGGAUGGUGACAAUUCUGAGGCCUUUUGACAACUGGUUGGAUCCCAUUCCUGUGGCCAACAUGGCAGCUGUCCAGCUUGCUGUCACGCCGUGAAA